rnacentral:misc_RNA from 1 species
UCGCGGCUUAUCACCGGCAGUCCCCUUAGAGUGCCCUUGCGUAGCAACUAGGGACAAGGGUUGCGCUCGUUGCGGGACUUAACCCAACAUCUCACGACACGAGCUGACGACAGCCAUGCAGCACCUGUGUUCCGAUUCCCUUUCGGGCACACUCGCCUCUCAGCGAGCUUCCGGACAUGUCAAGGGUAGGUAAGGUUGUUCGCGUUGCAUCGAAUUAAUCCACAUCAUCCACCGCUUGUGCGGGUCCCCGUCAAUUCCUUUGAGUUUUGACCUUGCGGCCGUACUCCCCAGGCGGGAUGCUUAAUGCGUUAGCUGCGCCACCGACAAGCAAGCUUGCCGACGGCUAGCAUCCAUCGUUUACGGCGUGGACUAC